GCCUUGGUAGCUCAAUUGGCUAGAGCGUGGGACUUUUACUCCGAUCUGAUUGCGGAAUCCCAAGGUUGCGGGUUCGACCCCCGCCUGAGGCG